GCCACUGCACUCCAGCCUGGGUGACAGAGUGAGACUGUCUUAAGAAAAAACAGAUUUUAAAAAACCCUGUAUGCCGUUAGUUGCUUCUGUAGGAGAUGCAUGGUUCCAGAAGGUAGACUUUGUGUUGAGAAUUCUGCAGCGUCAGGCUGGAGACAGUCUCCCUUCCUAGCAGCGUGGGCCCCUGGGCUGCUCUUCUACCAGAAUGGAUGGUGGCAUCUCUGGGAGAUAUCUGUGGACUCAGAUAUCUGUGGAUUAGUGACUUGUGUUACUCACAGAUACUUAAUUUUAUGGGUAAAUGAAUACCUGGACUUGCUGCAACUUCAGGGCGAGAUUCGGGAGUAGGGAGUGAAAAGUGACGAGGGGACCCAGGGCUUGUCCUGCCACCCCCAGGACCUGGUCAGGGCGCCUUCCCGUCUGAAGCCCCGGCACCUGAUUGGGGCGCCCCUCCCUCCUGAAGCCCCCAGCACCUGGUCGGGGGCACCCCUCCCCUCUGAAGUCCCCAGACCCUCCUGGCCUGCGGUGCUGCUUCUCCAAAUGCUGCCCUUGGCUGUUUUCGAGGAGUCACUGGCACCCGAGCAGGCUGCGUGUGUCACUUCUUCAUGGAUCUGGGGUGUCAGUGAAGUUCAUUUUUCUCGUCUUCCUCAUGUGCCACAUCUCACCUGUUUGUCCGAGUUCGUGUGUGUGCAUGUUGUGCGUUCUCAGGCUGUACUCAGUGCUUAGGUGACAAGAACGUCUUAGAGCAACGGACUGUCUGCUCCUAAAGGACGCUGUGUGUUAAUCGAGACACGGUUUACUUGUGGGGUUUAAAUUUCCUGGGUGUGUUGGAGGCAAUUAGGGGGAAACAAGCUCUAAAAAAGGCCCUGGGAAUGAGGAGGACAAUAAUGAAAACAAUAACUUUAUACACACUUAGCAGUUGAUUUAAUUUGAAGGUGAAUUUUGCAUUUUGGGGACUCCUAAAGCUACUGUUCGUAGGGAUUCCUUGAUGAGCUGCUUGUUUUCUGUCAAGUAGAAAGUAAAGUGGAUCAGUUUUGCCUUUAAUUCUGACUGACUAGAAUCUACUUCCCUUUUCCCCCCAUUCAUGUUAGGGUGGGGAUUGGACUAGAAGAGCUGUAGGAUCUAUUUCUGAUCUUAAAUGAAUUUUUUCUUGACUCACUUUUAUUUUAUUGGUGAGCUGCUAUUUCUUCCUUCAACGCACUGUUCUUUGGGAAAUGUGCUAUAUUUGUACCGUGCUUUAAAUGUACACAAUGGUUCUAAAUUGCUACUUUAGAUAUAACAUCUUAGUUAAAAUGUCAUCCAUACAUCAGGCACAGUCUGAGGCCUGGAGACCCCUCUUGUCACUUCCUUCCAGCUGUAUCUCCUUCCCUGGCCACGUUGCCUCUGGCCACGUCUCCUCUCCCCACCACGUCACCUCUGGCCUCCCUGCCUGCCUUCCUUCCUCCCUCCUGGUGGCCUCCAUGGCUCCUGCUGACUGCCCUCCCGAGGGUCUGUUCGAGGCUCCUUCCCCGUUUUCUGCUCCUGAGUGGGUCUCGGGGCCUGGAUGUUUCCCAUUCAGUUCAUUAUUUCCAGAGGGGCAGAUGAUACUACUCACAAUAUCCUAAACAGGCUGUGAGUCCACCAUGGCUCCUAAUAGCCAAGGCGGGGGGAGGGGGGUGGCUAUUACUCCCCACCUCGCAGGGGGUGCCUCACUCCGGGACACAAAUGCACAGCCCACUGUGCCUGUAGUUUGUCUUCUAGGAAUGGACCUCUUCUUGUACGGCCUCUCAGAUGAGAUGAAGCAGGCCCACAGGGAGCAGCUCUUCACUGUCAGCUAUAGAGCCAGAAAGGAAAGCCUCCACGCCAGCUCUUGGCCGUUGGACUCCGAUUUCCCAAACAGCUGGUUUUUGGUGUCUCCUCUCCCUCCAUACAGCUCUCCGCCCACGUUUCUGAGGAGAGCAGGAGCCUGGGGUCCAGGCCCAGGGUCCUGGCCUGCUGCUCUGGAUGGAAACUGACACGUGACAAAUAUGUAACAUGUGUAGUGCACUCCAGCGGCAAAGAAAUGACCACUCAUCCAGCCCAAAGUCACCAGAACCUAAGAACCGCGGUGUGACAGUGACCGUAAGAUCAGACCUGGUCUCUCACUCACCUGAGCACAAGGCCCCUAUGGAUGGUGGUCUUUAUUUUCUCCGUCAGGUGCUCCACAUUGGACUGGAAAAGAGUAUUUUGUUAAUCAGACAAUAAACUUAUGCUAAGCACCCACUGUGUGCCAGGCCCUGCAGGGCGGGAAGUGCCAACCAAGUGUGGCGGUGAGUGUGGCCAAGGAGGUUGCAAGCUCUCAUGGCUCAGGUCUCGGGGAGCCUCCCCCAGGCGGGGAGAGCACGUCUGCAGCAAUGAAUGCUGAGCACAGGGCACGGUGAGCAGCCCUCAUGGCGGCCACUAGAAACGCCUUCCAGAAUCAACAGGGUCCCUCUGAAGACGAUAAUUCCGUGAUUGGCCUAGCGCUCAUUCACGGCUCUAUUGCCCCGUAUUUAUUUUCAUGACAAUGUUCUACUCGGCGCUCUCAGCGGAAAAGAGCAAAACCCCAUCUCUACUAAAAAAUACAAAAAACUAGCCGGGCGAGAUGGCGGGCGCCUAUAGUCCCAGCUA